GGGAUGGAAGGUGUGGUAGGACUAUGCGGACAGAGAGGCAUGUAUUCGCUGUUCUCUACUGGCUUCCUCUAACAGCAUCACUUUGUUUGCAGCUCUCUCGGUGCCUCCAAGUCCGCCGCCGAGACUACUAGGAUCAGUAGCUAUUAACGGCUCGAUGGUCUCCAACUUGUUGGUGGUGGCAACGAUAUGGACGGACCGAGGAGAUCGUAGGCAUCCAUGUUCGAAUCCAAACAUGGCCAAGCUUCGAGAGCUGAUGACCAAUGAUGCCGUGAGUUUCAUACUCUUCUUCCUUUAUAUUUUUAUACUCUUCCUCUCCUUCGUCGAGGACGAUGACCAUCCUCACCUCUCCUCCGGUGCUUGGAUGCCUUCGCACUGCAGCACUCUCCCUUCUCUGACCCUCAUCCUCGAUAGAUUGAGUCGGGGGAAGUAAAGAGGCUCUAGAACCUAUGCUCCACCAUUGGCUCUGGCUGCGAGGCAAAUGGUGGGAAGGGGUGAGGGAGGUGGGUGAGCAUGGGACGGAGGUUCUCGAGCUUUUCAAAGCAGGUGGCAAUGCUGCAAAAGGUGUGCUAGCUGCCUUGGGGGAAGUGGGCGGUGGAGACCUGUGAUCUGAUGAAGGGGGUGGGAGCAGGCGAGCGG
rnacentral:lncRNA from 1 species